UCUGGCGGCUUUAGCGCGGUGGUCCCACCUGACCCCAUGCCGAACUCAGAAGUGAAACGCCGUAGCGCCGAUGGUAGUGUGGG
rnacentral:rRNA from 1 species